rnacentral:rRNA from 1 species
AACAAAACAAGACUUUGGGAUAACUUCAGGAAACUGGGGCUAAUACCGGAUAGGAGCUCCUGCUGCAUGGUGGGGGUUGGAAAGUUUCGGCGGUUGGGGAUGGACUCGCGGCUUAUCAGCUUGUUGGUGGGGUAGUGGCUUACCAAGGCUUUGACGGGUAGCCGGCCUGAGAGGGUGACCGGCCACAUUGGGACUGAGAUACGGCCCAGACUCCUACGGGAGGCAGCAGUGGGGAAUAUUGCACAAUGGGCGGAUUUUUUUUUAAGGAACCCCGCGCCCCGGAGAACUACACUCUCCAU